UUAGUGGCCAUGCAGGCUUGUCUAGCAUCUGCAUUCAUCUCUUCUCAUUAGCUGGGCUUCUUCCUGAGACUGAAGUCUGAGAACUUGAAUUGUAUAUGCUGCCUGUCUGUCCUGCUGAUAUGGAUGGUGGGGAAUGGCAAGCUUCACAUGAGAGAUGGAGAAUCUUUCUAGUUUGGCUUGAUGGGUUUUUGUUUCUGGAUGGAUCACAGAGCCAGCCUUAUAACUAAGCCAAUGGUCUCUUGAGAAGAUGGUGAGUGGAUCUCUGUGGAUGUUGACCUUGAAAUUGUACCUACCUUCAAUCAACAUUUCAGCAUAAAACUUUCAGGAGUCUCCCUGAACCUCCCUGGCAAUAUGUGAGAAAAAAUGGCCAUGUUUGAAUUCUUCAGUUGCCUAUGCACUGUUAUAAUAGGCUUCUGGUUAUUCAUUUAAAGGUGCUAAUUAAAUACUGUCCUUGGCUCAUACACUGGUAUGAGUGUGAGGUAAUCAAACCAUUGGGUUGUUAAUACCAAAAAUUUUUCUUAGAAAAGUAAAAGUGAUACUAUUUCCA